rnacentral:tRNA from 1 species
GGUUUCGUGGUGUAGUUGGUUAUCACGUCAGUCUAACAAAUUGAAGGUCUCCGGUUCGAGUCCGGGUGUGGCCA